GAUGAACGCUGGCGGCGUGCCUAAUACAUGCAAGUCGAGCGAACAGACGAGGAGCUUGCUCCUCUGACGUUAGCGGCGGACGGGUGAGUAACACGUGGAUAACCUACCUAUAAGACUGGGAUAACUUCGGGAAACCGGAGCUAAUACCGGAUAAUAUAUUGAACCGCAUGGUUCAAUAGUGAAAGACGGUUUUGCUGUCACUUAUAGAUGGAUCCGCGCCGCAUUAGCUAGUUGGUAAGGUAACGGCUUACCAAGGCAACGAUGCGUAGCCGACCUGAGAGGGUAAUCGGCCACACUGGAACUGAAACACGGUCCAGACUCCUACGGGAGGCAGCAGUAGGGAAUCUUCCGCAAUGGGCGAAAGCCUGACGGAGCAACGCCGCGUGAGUGAUGAAGGUCUUCGGAUCGUAAAACUCUGUUAUUAGGGAAGAACAAAUGUGUAAGUAACUAUGCACGUCUUGACGGUACCUAAUCAGAAAGCCACGGCUAACUACGUG
rnacentral:rRNA from 1 species